UUACCAGAUAAGAAUUCAGGUUCUGGUGUGGAUUAUAGGAUGGUGGGAAUGGAGCGGUUGCCACAGAUGAAGAGUACUACUAGAGGCAGUAAUUCGAGUCUUGUUCGUCACUGUAGCUCACCUGCAGGACUUUUCUCCAACAUAAAUGUCGAAAUGGAUAAUGGCUAUGCUGUAUUGAGAGGAAUGGGAGAUUUUGGAGCAGGUAAUAGAGA
rnacentral:misc_RNA from 1 species